GGAAAAUAUGACAAGUCUGGUCAAAAUAUGGGUGAUUUUGCAAAAAUUUUACAAGAGUGUGGGAUAGUAUCCCUAUACACCAUGCCAAUGACACCUGAGCAGAAUAGUAUUUCUGAAAGACAUAAUCGAACUCUGGAAAAUAUGGUAAGAAGUAUGAUGAGCAGAACAAAUUUACCGAAUAUUUGUGGGGUGAAGCCUUGAAAACUGCUAUGUAUAUUUUGAAUAGAGUUCCAAAUAAAGCUGUUGCAAAGACGCCUUUUGAAUUAUAGCUAUGACGUAAGCCAAGUUUGACUCAUUUUAAGGUUUGGAGAUGUCCAGCUGAGGUUAGGAUUUAUAAUCCAUUUGAAAAGAAUUUAGACCCGAAAUCAACUCCUGGUUAUUUGAGUGGGUACCCAGAGAGAUCAAAAGGAUAUAAGUUUUACUAUCCAAAUCGUGGUACUAGAAUUGUGGAGUCCAUUACUGCUAAAUUUCUGGAGAAUGAUUUUGGAGAUAAUGGGAGUUCCACAUUGAGAGAAAUCCUUGUAGAACCAAAUUAAGUUGUUGUUCUAGUUCCUAUUAUACAGGAAAGAUUGGUUCUCAACCAAUUGAAAUUGUUAAUGAAGAAUCGAGAAAUCAAAAUGAACCUCCAAUUUCUCCAACAACGAUUGAAUCGGUUUCGAAGCCACAAGAUAGGAGAUCACAAAUGGAAAUGAGAUCUGCAUUGCCCAGUGAUUACAUUACAUAUUUAUUGGAAAAUUAUUUUAAUAUUGGGUAUAUUGUUGAUCCUUUAACUUAUAAUCAAGCAUUGACUUGUCCUGAGGCAAAUAAAUGGAAAAAUACUAUGGAAGAUGAAUGAAUUCCAUGAAACAGAAUAAUGUUUGGAAACUUGUUGAACUUCCUCUAGAUGGUAAAGCUAUACAUAAUAAGUGAUCUUUACAAGUAAAUUGGAUUUAAAAGGGAAUGUUGAACGAAAGAAGGCAAGAUUGGUUGCAAAAGGUUUCACUCAGCAAGAAGGAAUUGAUUAUGUUGAAACCUUUUCACCUAUCUUGUCCAAAGAUUCUUUUCGAAUUAUUAUGGCACUUGUGGCACACUAUGAUUUGGAGCUUCAUCAUAUGGAUGUUAAGAUAUCAUUUUUUAAUGAAGAUCUUUUUGAAAAGAUUUACAUGGCAUAACCUGGAGGUUUUGUUGUGAAAGGAAAACAAAACUUGGUAUUUAAGUUAAACAAAUCCUUAUAUGGCCAAGCAAGCAUCUUGGCAGUGGUAUCUGAAGUUUGACGAGGUUGUAUCUUUUUUUGGUUUUGACAAAAAUACAGUUGAUCAAUGAAUUUAUCUCAAAAUCAAUGGGAGAAAAUUUAUUUUUCUUGUCCUAUAUGUUGAUGACAUUUUUCUUGCUAUCAUUAACUUAGGGUUACUUUAUGAGACGAAGAAAAUGUUGUCUGCUAAUUUUGAGAUGAAAGAAAUUAAAGAAGCCUCUUAUGUGCUUGGCAUUGAAAUACAUUGUGAUAGGAAUCGUGGCUUGCUAGGACCUUUUCAGAAGGCUUAUAUACAAUGUAUUCUAGAAAGGUUCAAUAUGCAGAACAAUGCACGUGAUGAUGUACCCAUCAUAAAAAGAGACAAGUUUAACAAAACUCAAUGUCCUAGGAAUGAGCUAGAAAGGGAAUCUAUGAAAAUGAUUCCAUAUGCUAGUGUUGUGGAGAGUUUGAUGUAUGAUCAAGCUUGCACUAUACCAGAUAUAGCCUACGCAGUCAAUGCCGUUAGUAGAUUUCAAUCAAAUCUAGGACAAAAGCAUUGGAAAGCAGCUAAAAAAGUUAUGAGAUGCUUGAAGAAAAUUGAAGGCUACAUGCUUACAUUCCAGCAUUCAAAUCACCUUUUUAGGUGAUAGGAUAUUCAGAUUUUGAUUUUGCUGGAUGUCAAGAUGAUUUGAAAUCAACCUCAAGUUAUAUUUUUACAUUAGUUGGUGGUACUAUCUCUUGGUAAAGUGCUAAACAGACUCUAGUAACAUAUUCUACUAUGCAAGCUGAAUUUGUGGUAUGUUAUGGGGCUACAAUCCAAGCCAUUUGGUUAAAAAAAUUCAUCUUUGGCUUGAAAGUUGUUGAUUCCAUCUCAAGACCAAUCACCGUCUAUUAUGAUAACAGUGCAACAGUGUUCUUUUCAAAGAAUAAUAAAAAUUCUGGUGGGUCCAAGCAUAUUGACAUAAAAUAUUUGAUGGUUAGAGACAGAGUCAAGGAAUGACAGACGAAAAUAGAGCAUAUAAUACAUAGGCAAUGAUUGUAGAUCCUUUGACUUUGAGACUCGUUUAUAUAUAUAUAUAUAACUACGUUUUGGGCUUGAUCCAUUUCACGGGAUAUGUAGGUAACCCAUAUGUUUUCGGGUACAGUCCCUUCUAAUAAUAAAAUAUUAUUUCCCUAUCCAUAAACUAUUUUGGGCAUGCCUUUGACUUAUGUCUUUUUAUUAUGAUAUUAUUGUAAUCUCGAUAUAUGACAGAUA
rnacentral:lncRNA from 1 species